AACCAAUUGAUGAUUCAUGAGACUUCUUAGAACAAUUUGAGAUCUUUUUUUUUGUGUGCUUAAUGAGAGAUAUUUGUGUGUUUUAAUUUGAUGUAAUCGGAUUUAUUCAUUUUCAUAGUUUAAUUUGGUUUAAUUCAUCUUUGUCCGUUGCUUUCU
rnacentral:sRNA from 1 species